GAAAUCGAGACUCAUCAGACCAGGCAAAAUUUUUCCACUCUACAACUGUCCAAUUUUGAUGUGGACCCCGCCUGCAGAUACAAACUGUGGUGGAACAACGAAAUUGCAGAGGUCUCCCAUACGGUUGAUACGAAUCAGCUUGGAAGCACUGUCGCGCCUGGCCUACUCCCAACUGAGUCGCAUGCAGCUUAUCACAAAUAAUGCGCUUACUGUCCUGCCAAGCAUUCUAUUUGUUUUCUAUCAAAUCUGACGCUCGAGAUGGCGGAAAAUGUGAAAUACAGCACAUGGCUUGUCUUCUCAGACUGUGUUCAUGUUAAUCAAGCUAAUGAAUAAAUGAAUAUACUUAAGAUGACGCAUCAUUACACCUGCCCUGCUCUGGAGCAGUACAGUCUGUAUAAACCCCAGGGCAACUACAUUUUUUUUGUUGACUGCUCUUACACCGAAGCUAAUUAUCAGUACACACCCAGUUUGUAACAUGGUACUAGAUGGGGUGGUUCAAAUCAAACGAUUCGUCCACUUGGUUACCACAGGAAACCUUCACAACACAUUGACUUUGUAAGGUUUAUGAUAGUGGUAAAUAUUUAUGAUUACUAAAUGAAUAUCUAAAUAUCUCCCUCAGCAAAGGCCGCUAAGAAACAGUUCACACAUUUAUUAUUUAUUACAUAAUAGUUGGUUUGUGAGGGACAAGUACAGGAAGCAUUGUCCGUUAUACUGUUCAGGUGUAGAAAGCUGAUAUCUCCUGUUCUCCCCUCCUGUCGUUUCUCUGUCUGUUGUGUGUGUCCUACCAGUUCCAUCCACCGAAUUGCUUUUCAUCCACAACAUUACCCAGUCUACCUCUCUGCCUCCCAUCUACUCAUUACUCCAGAAGACAUCUACCUGUCUCUAGUCACUCACCUUCAGUGGUCCACACCUCGUUCAAGGCUGCUCAGCAAAUCCCAUUUUUUAUCCCAGUAUUUCUGUAUGCAACUAUUGACUUUUCUCCCUGUUGUUUCCUGGAACCCAGCUCUCCCUGGUCUGUGUUUGCAUUUGGGGUCCGCCACCACACCCCAUGACAGCAGAAGCUAAUUUCCAUCAAAUGUCCCUGGAUUGGCAUUGAUAGCUCAUGUAAUUUGGACGAAACAGCAUGGUGCGCCAGAACAGACGUUGUCGCUGUGCUCUAAAACUAAGCACAACUUUGCCUCUGCUGUUUCUUCUUGCAGCACAAACAACUUCUGGGGCAACAGUUUGCUUCGUUGGGUCUGCUGUGGCAGAAUGUAGUUGUAUCACAUGCCCAGAUCACAGCUACUUGCACUUAAACAAAUCAAGGAUUUUUUUGAUGAGAUUCAUCCCCAUUUUGAAUUGGUUGAUUCUUAUUGGCACACUUUCCCUUUAGCAUGUGGGCCCUACUAAAAAGGCGGUGAAAAGUGUAGGUUUUAUAAACAUUUUUUGGUAUGAAAAGUAUUGAAUUGUUACAUUGCAGCCUGAUAUAACAAUCAUACCCGGGUGUAAACUAUUUACUGGUUACUUUUACUUUACAUGAAAAUAUUGUCUCCGGUCUCGAGCCAAAGGACCAAAUCCGCCUACAUCUGACAUCGAGCCACGGGACUCUCGUCGUAAACUGUAUUGCUGGGGCAAGAAUAUGUUUGGUAAUCCCACACUGACUACUGUUAUUGCAUUUUGAGUCUUAAAUCCUUGUUCUCCUGUGACAAAGUAAGCAUUUUAAUGCAGGACUUUUACUGUGCAGUGUUAUUAGUUUUAUGAAUAAUUUGAUAUCUAUACUUAGAGCAGUGUGACAUUUUGACAAUAACGCGUCUGAAUCGUUUUCAUCAGGAAGGCAUCUGAAUCCAGCUGUGGCAUUACCAAUAAGAACUCAGACAAUUACUGAAUGUAAAAUGUGUGAUGAUGAAUUAAAAAAAUAUAUCCUUGUUUGUCUGUAAUAGUUACCUUUUAAAAUAGACAUGACAAAAUAAAAACAACAUGAAAGG